AUUGAACGCUGGCGGCAGGCCUAACACAUGCAAGUCGAGCGGAUGAAGGGAGCUUUCUCCUGGAUUCAGCGGCGGACGGGUGAGUAAUGCCUAGGAAUCUGCCUGGUAGUGGGGGAUAACGUCCGGAAACGGGCGCUAAUACCGCAUACGUCCUGAGGGUGAAAGUUGGGGAUCUUCGGACCUCACGCUAUCAGAUGAGCCUAGGUCGGAUUAGCUAGUUGGUGGGGUAAAGGCCUACCAAGGCGACGAUCCGUAACUGGUCUGAGAGGAUGAUCAGUCACACUGGAACUGAGACACGGUCCAGACUCCUACGGGAGGCAGCAGUGGGGAAUAUUGGACAAUGGGCGAAAGCCUGAUCCAGCCAUGCCGCGUGUGUGAAGAAGGUCUUCGGAUUGUAAAGCACUUUAAGUUGGGAGGAAGGGCAGUAAGUUAAUACCUUGCUGUUUUGACGUUACCAACAGAAUAAGCACCGGCUAACUUCGUG
rnacentral:rRNA from 1 species